GUGGGGAAUUUUCCGCAAUGGGCGAAAGCCUGACGGAGCAAUGCCGCGUGAAGGAUGAAGGCCUAUGGGUUGUAAACUUCUUUUCUCAGAAAAGAAUUAUGACGGUAUCUGAGGAAUAAGCAUCGGCUAACUCUGUGCCAGCAGCCGCGGUAAGACAGAGGAUGCAAGCGUUAUCCGGAAUGAUUGGGCGUAAAGCGUCUGUAGGUUGUUUAAAAAGUAUUCUGUCAAAGAUUAGGGCUUAACCCUAGAUAGGCAGAAUAAACUUUUAAGCUAGAGUUUGGUAGAGGCAGAGGGAAUUCCCGGUGGAGCGGUGAAAUGCGUAGAUAUCGGGAGGAACACCAAAGGCGAAGGCACUCUGCUGGGCCAAUACUAACACUGAGAGACGAAAGCGAGGGGAGCAAAUGGGAUUAGAAACCCGUGUAGUCC
rnacentral:rRNA from 1 species